AUUGAACGCUGGCGGCAGGCCUAACACAUGCAAGUCGAGCGGCAGCGGAAAGUAGCUUGCUACUUUGCCGGCGAGCGGCGGACGGGUGAGUAAUGUCUGGGAAACUGCCUGAUGGAGGGGGAUAACUACUGGAAACGGUAGCUAAUACCGCAUAACGUCGCAAGACCAAAGAGGGGGACCUUCGGGCCUCUUGCCAUCAGAUGUGCCCAGAUGGGAUUAGCUGGUAGGUGGGGUAACGGCUCACCUAGGCGACGAUCCCUAGCUGGUCUGAGAGGAUGACCAGCCACACUGGAACUGAGACACGGUCCAGAAUCCUACGGGAGGCAGCAGUGGGGAAUAUUGCACAAUGGGCGCAAGCCUGAUGCAGCCAUGCCGCGUGUAUGAAGAAGGCCUUCGGGUUGUAAAGUACCUUCAGCGGGGAGGAAGGCGUUGAGGUUAAUAACCUCAGCGAUUGACGUUACCCGCAGAAGAAGCACCGGCUAACUCCGUGCCAGCCGCCGCGGUAA
rnacentral:rRNA from 1 species